GACGAACGCUGGCGGCGUGCCUAAUACAUGCAAGUCGAACGCAGUGGGGACGGGUGAGUAACACGUGGGUAACCUCCCAUCAGAGGGGAUAACACUUGGACACAGGUGCUAAACCGAUACUGAUGGAUGGACCCGCGGUGCAUUAGCUAGUUGGUGAGGUAACGGCGCACCAAGGCCACGAUGCAUAGCCGGCCUGGGAGGUGGAUCGGCAACUCGGGAACUGAGACACGGCCCAGACUCCUACGGGAGGAAGCAGUAGGGAAUCUUCGGCAAUGGACGAAAGCCUGACCGAGCAACGCCGCGGGAGUGAAGAAGGUUUUCGGAUCGUAAGACUCGGUUGUUAGAGCAGCGGUACCUAACCAGAAAGCCACGGCUAACUACGUGCCAGCAGCCGCGGUAAUAC
rnacentral:rRNA from 1 species